rnacentral:rRNA from 1 species
GCAAGUCGAGCGGUAACAGAGAUAGCUUGCUAUCUGCUGACGAGCGGCGGACGGGUGAGUAAUGCUUGGGAAUAUGCCAUUGAGUGGGGGACAACAGUUGGAAACGACUGCUAAUACCGCAUAACGUCUACGGACCAAAGGGGGGGCUUCUUCGUAACCUCUCGCUCAUUGAUUAGCCCAAGUGAGAUUAGCUAGUUGGUAAGGUAAAGGCUUACCAAGGCGACGAUCUCUAGCUGGUUUGAGAGGAUGAUC